rnacentral:rRNA from 1 species
AUGUCAAGUCGAACGAUGAUGCCCAGCUUGCUGGGUUGAUUAGUGGCGAACGGGUGAGUAACACGUGAGUAACCUGCCCUUGACUUCGGGAUAACUCCGGGAAACCGGGGCUAAUACCGGAUAUGAGCCGUCCUCGCAUGGGGGUGGUUGGAAAGUUUUUCGGUCAGGGAUGGGCUCGCGGCCUAUCAGCUUGUUGGUGGGGUGAUGGCCUACCAAGGCGACGACGGGUAGCCGGCCUGAGAGGGCGACCGGCCACACUGGGACUGAGACACGGCCCAGACUCCUACGGGAGGCAGCAGUGGGGAAUAUUGCACAAUGGGCGAAAGCCUGAUGCAGCGACGCCGCGUGAGGGAUGACGGCCUUCGGGUUGUAAACCUCUUUCAGCAGGGAAGAAGCGCAAGUGACGGUACCUGCAGAAGAAGCGCCGGCUAACUACGUGCCAGCAGCCGCGGUAAUACGUAGGGCGCAAGCGUUGUCCGGAAUUAUUGGGCGUAAAGAGCUCGUAGGCGGUUUGUCGCGUCUGGUGUGAAAACUCGAGGCUCAACCUCGAGCUUGCAUCGGGUACGGGCAGACUAGAGUGCGGUAGGGGAGACUGGAAUUCCUGGUGUAGCGGUGGAAUGCGCAGAUAUCAGGAGGAACACCGAUGGCGAAGGCAGGUCUCUGGGCCGCAACUGACGCUGAGGAGCGAAAGCAUGGGGAGCGAACAGGAUUAGAUACCCUGGUAGUCCAUGCCGUAAACGUUGGGCACUAGGUGUGGGGCUCAUUCCACGAGUUCCGUGCCGCAGCAAACGCAUUAAGUGCCCCGCCUGGGGAGUACGGCCGCAAGGCUAAAACUCAAAGGAAUUGACGGGGGCCCGCACAAGCGGCGGAGCAUGCGGAUUAAUUCGAUGCAACGCGAAGAACCUUACCAAGGCUUGACAUGCACGGGAAAGCCACCAGAGAUGGUGGUCUCUUUUGGACACUCGUGCACAGGUGGUGCAUGGUUGUCGUCAGCUCGUGUCGUGAGAUGUUGGGAUUAAGUCCCGCAACGAGCGCACCCUCGUCCAUGUUGCCCAGCGGGUUAUGCUGGGACUCAUGGGAGACUGCGGGGUCACUCGGAGGGACGUGGGAUGACGUCAAAUCAUCAUGCCCCUUAGUCUUGGGCUUCACGCAUGCUACA